CCUACGGGAGGCAGCAGUGGGGAAUCUUGGACAAUGGGCGAAAGCCUGAUCCAGCGACGCCGCGUGGGGGAUGAAGCCCUUCGGGGUGUAAACCCCUGUUGCGAGGGAGGAAUAAGGCCUGGAGGAAAUGCCAGGCCGAUGACUGUACCUCGCGAGGAAGCCCCGGCUAACUACGUGCCAGCAGCCGCGGUAAUACGUAGGGGGCGAGCGUUACCCGGAUUCACUGGGCGUAAAGCGGGUGUAGGCGGCUCGGUAAGUCGGGUGUGAAAUCCCACAGCUCAACUGUGGAAUUGCGCCCGAAACUGCUGAGCUUGGGGCCGGUAGAGGGAGACGGAACUGCCGGUGUAGGGGUGAAAUCCGUAGAUAUCGGCAGGAACGCCGGUGGGGAAGCCCGGUCUCCUGGGCCGCGCCCGACGCUGAGACCCGAAAGCUAGGGGAGCAAACC
rnacentral:rRNA from 1 species